rnacentral:rRNA from 1 species
CUUCCGCAAUGGACGAAAGUCUGACGGAGCAACGCCGCGUGAGUGAUGAAGGUUUUCGGAUCGUAAAGCUCUGUUGUUAGGGAAGAACAAGUGCGAGAGUAACUGCUCGCACCUUGACGGUACCUAACCAGAAAGCCACGGCUAACUACGUGCCAGCAGCCGCGGUAAUACGUAGGUGGCAAGCGUUGUCCGGAAUUAUUGGGCGUAAAGGGCUCGCAGGCGGUUUCUUAAGUCUGAUGUGAAAGCCCCCGGCUCAACCGGGGAGGGUCAUUGGAAACUGGGAAACUUGAGUGCAGAAGAGGAGAGUGGAAUUCCACGUGUAGCGGUGAAAUGCGUAGAGAUGUGGAGGAACACCAGUGGCGAAGGCGACUCUC